GAUGAACGCUGGCGGCGUGCCUAAUACAUGCAAGUCGAGCGAACAGACGAGGAGGUUGCUCCUCUGACGUUAGCGGCGGAAGGGUGAGUAACACGUGGAGAACCUACCUAUAAGACUGGGAUAGCUUCGUGAAACCGGAACUAAUACCGGAUAAUAUAUUGAUCCGAUUGGUUCAAUAGUCAAAGACGGUUUUGCUGUCACUUAUAGAUGAGUCCGCGCCGCAUUAGCUAGUUGGUAAGGUAACGGCUUAGCAAGGCAACGAUGCGUAGCCGACCUGAGAGGACGAUCAGUCACAGUGGUACGGAGAUGCGGUGCAGACUCCGAACUGAGGCACCAGUAGGGCAUCUUCCGCAAUCGGCGGAAGCCUGACGGAGGAAAGCCGCGUGAGCGAUGAAGGUCUUCGGAGCGUAAAACUUUGUUAUCAGCGAAGAACAAAGGUGUAAGUAACGAUGCACGUCUUGACGGUACCUAAUCAGAAAGCCCCGGCUAACUACGUG
rnacentral:rRNA from 1 species